UACGUAGGGACCAAGCGUUGUCCGGAAUCAUUGGGCGUAAAGAGCGUGUAGGCGGCUUGUUAAGUCUUGCGUGAAAUCUCGGGGCUCAACCCCGAGCGGUCGUGAGAAACUGGCAGGCUAGAGUGCGGGAGAGGAGAGUGGAAUUCCUGGUGUAGCGGUGAAAUGCGCAGAUAUCAGGAAGAACACCCGUGGCGAAGGCGGCUCACUGGACCACAACUGACGCUGAGGCACGAAAGCGUGGGGAGCAAACAGG
rnacentral:rRNA from 1 species